rnacentral:rRNA from 1 species
UCCCGGCCUCAGUUCAAAUGUGAUUACCCGCUGAACUUAAGCAUAUCAGUAAGCGGAGGAAAAGAAACUAACCAGGAUUCUCCUAGUAACGGCGAGUGAACGGAGAUUAGCCCAUCACCGAAGCCUGCGUGUGUUUGCAUGCUAGGCAAUGUGGUGUUAAGGCGUGUACCUGGGAUCGUGUCCCUACCCGAAGUCUAAAUCCGAUUGUGGCUUUGGAUUCAUUCCAUAGCGGGUGAAAGUCCCGUGCGGGUAGGACUAUUGCAAAUCCACACGAUCCUUAGAUGUGCAUGCUAUCGAGUCGGAUUGCUUGAGAAUGCAGUCCAAAGUGGGUGGUAAACUCCAUCCAAGGCUAAAUACUGGCACGAGUCCGAUAGUAGACAAGUACCGUGAGGGAAAGUUGAAAAGUACUCUGAAGAGAGAGUAAAUAGUACGUGAAGCCGAUUGCAGGGAAGCUGGUGGAGUCAAGCUUCGUGCUUGAGGAAUUGAUGCUGGGAGCAGGUGUGUGAAUUGUAUGUGAGAGUGGACAACUUGGAAUAAGUUGGGCGUGUUCUGAAUGCGCUUCAAGUCAUUCCGGGUAGAGUGUUAUGAGCCAUUCUCGCUUUGCUACUCUCAGUGUUGUAUUCCUCGCUGCACAGGCCACAGUCAAUAGGUGCAUGCGGUAUGAAGGCCUAACUGUGCUUCGGCGGGUGCAAGCUCUCCGGGCGCAGGAUGGCAGGUGCUGUCCUCGGACCUCGUGUCUGUUGAUAGUUGUUGUGGUUUCGACCGGCUGGUCUUCAUACUGUAUUGUGCUUAUUGCCUAUCGAUGGCGCAGUUUCCUCGGAAGUUGUGCUGUGAAGAACUGUGGCUCUGAGGUAGACUUUCCACCGGACCCGUCUUGAAACACGGACCAAGGAGUUUAACAUGCGCGCAAGUCAAUGGGCAUAUUACGAAACCCAAAGGCGCAAUGAAAGUGAAAGCUUUUGCUUAGGUGUGAUCCUGAUUUGCUCCUCACAGGGCGGUCGGGCGCAGCACCGGCCCGUCUCGAAAUGUUGUCAUUUUGGCCACGGUCAGAGUGCUUCAUUGAGGCGGAGCAAGAGCGCGCAUGUUGAGACCCGAAAGAUGGUGAACUAUGCUUGCGUAGGUUGAAGCCAGAGGAAACUCUGGUGGAGGACCGAAGCGGUUUUGACGUGCAAAUCGAUUGUCAAACGUGAGCAUAGGGGCGAAAGACUAAUCGAACCAUCUAGUAGCUGGUUCCCUCCGAAGUUUCCCUCAGGAUAGCUGGCAUUCUUUAUUCCAAUCAAUUUUAUCCGGUAAAGCGAAUGAUUAGAGGUAUUGGGGACCAAUGGUCCUCAACCUAUUCUCAAACUAUUAAUGGGUACGAUGCUGGGCUCGCUUGAUUGGAGUCUAGCAUUGAAUGUGAAUGCCAAGUGGACCAUUUUUGGUAAGCAGAACUGGUGCUGUGGGAUGCUCCGAACGUCUAGAUACGGUGCCCAACGUGACGCUCAUGAGAUACCAGAAAAGGUGUUAAUGCAUAUAGACAGCAGGACGGUGGCCAUGAAAGUCGGAAUCCGCUAAGGAGUGUGUAACAACUCACCUGCCGAAUGCAUUAGCCCUGAAAAUGGAUGGCGCUCGAGCGUUGGACCUAUACUAGACUGUCAUCUGUAUGCCGAGUGAGGCGUUAGCCUCCUAUUUCAUAUCUACUCGGGCUUGUAAGACAGUGACAAGUAGGAGGGCCGCCGUGGUGUGCAACGAAGCCAAGUAUGUGAAUACUGGUGGAGCCGCCACGGGUGCAGAUCUUGGUGGUAGUAGCAAUUAUUCAAGCGGGACCCUUGAAGACCGAAGUGGAGAAGGGUUCCAUGGGAACAGCGCUUGGCCAUGGGUCAGGCGGUCCUAAAUGAUCUUGGUGAUUCAGUACAGAGAAGAGGGUGCCUUUAUUUAUCUCUGGCCCUCUGGAGUGAAAGGGAACCAGGUUAAUAUUCCUGGCCCUGCUACGGAAUUUCAUCACGUUCGCGUGAUAUGUGCGGUAACGCUCGCUUCCAUGGAGAAGUCGGUGGUUGUUCUGGGAAGAGUUUUCUUUUCUUUGUUAAGGUGCACCGCCCCUUUACCGGUUUGUCCGGCGCAAGGGGUACCGUACCUGUAAAGCGUCACGCGAUCCGUGGCGUCCGGAGCACUACUGCCGGCCCUUGAAAAUCCAUGAUAGGCAAAAUUCCGUAGCAGUCCGUACCUAUAACCGCAUCAGGUCUCCAAGGUGAAUAGCCUCUGGUGCUUGAACAAUGUGGGUAAGGGAAGUCGGCAAAUUGGAUCCGUAACCUCGGAAAAAGGAUUGGCUCUGAGGGCCGAGUAUGACGGGCUUGAGCAUGGAGGUGCUUGCGUCCAGUUGGAAGCGGUGCUGUCGGCAUUAACGUGCUGACGGCGUUGUGUCCUUCAGGAACGAGUGCUGAAGGCUUUUGCUAAUAAACUGCCUUGGACAGUCGGCUUGCUGGCUUCCUUUGUGGUUUCGUCAUACGACUAACGGCUAACU